UCUAAACCCUCAAGAGCGAUUUUCUUUGAGAUUCAGAUUCAUGCAGGUUCAUUUUGAGAUUCAGAGCGAUUUCGAUUUUGAAGAUCUCUCUCUCGAUUUCAAAGCUCCACUGUCUCUCUCUCUCUCUCUAGAUCUGGCCGGUAAUCAUAGUUUUAUGAGAGAAGAGGGAGGACAGGGACUGGGAGCUUGCGAAGAGAGAGGCAGUGCUUGAUUUCUCAGAGAUUCAGAUCGGUCUCAGAGAUUUCAUCUCUGAGCGAUUUCGAUUUUGAAGUUCUCUCUCUCGAUUUCGAGGCUCCACCAUAACCACCAUCUGCACCAGCUAGGAUUUGCUGGCCUUGUGUGAAAGUGACCGGAAGAAGGAGCUUUUGCUGCUACUACAGAUCAUUGACAUAAAGAUUAUUUCUCUAGGUCAUCUACCAAAUAUUUUCAGAUCCUUGGGGAGGCUUUUAUUGGAGUCUUUUGUGAAGAAAUUCAUUUUGGAAUUAAAAAGCUGUGCAGUGCUAUUUAUACUUGGGUUCAGAUUUUGAAGCGAAUUGGCAUCCUUAAUGGAAGUAUUAGUACCUUUUGUGUGUUCUGUAACAAUUGGGUUGAGGAAAAAUGGACCAUGUUCUGUUGCUCUACCCGUUGAGUUGGUGUGUUUGGUCGAAUAUUUUAAUUGGUGGGGAAUCCAAUGGGUCACGCCGGGUCCGGUGAUAGAGUUGUUGCAUUGGUGGGAUGGGGUUUCUUUCAGAAAGAUAGAAAAACAAAUUUGGAAAGUAAUCCCCAUGGCAAUUUUGCUGCUCAAAAAUAAAUAAAUAAAAAUUGCCAACAGGGUGAAGCUUAACCUCAAGGGAGUUUUGUAUUCUGUCAAUGAUUUUCUAUAUAACCUGCAGCAUAUUCGGUCAUGUUAUUAGACUUGUGGUUAGGAUUGUUGUUAGAUAUUGGCUAUGUUGUUUCUUGUUGGUUUUGCUUGGGCCUUCUCUAUUGACAUUUUAAAGGGUUGAUUGUUUAGUUUCUAUUAGGGGUAUUCAAAAUAGCCUGAGAACUGAAGAAUCGAAGAAUCGAAUUAAACCGGUCUCUUUGGGUUAGCUUGAUUUGGUUUUUUUAGUCCAUUGGUUUGGUUCCGGAUCUUCAAUUUGUCAAAUUGAUAGGAUUGAGUUGUUUCUUAAUUUAGACCUGAUUUAAACCUAAUCAACUUGAGAAUCAAACCUAUAUAUGCAUAUAUAAUUUUUUUUUCUUUUUUUAAUAUUGACGUGUCUUUAUAUUACCAUGGUUUUGUAUGUGAUUUCAAAAUCCUCUUUUCAUGAAGCUUGUGCAAUUGAACAAAUUUUGAAUUAUUGGUCCAAGAGUGAUAGAUUCUGCUUCAUGUUAAAUGAUUUAGCCUACUAACAAGGUAAAUGAUUUAGUGUAGAGAAUAAGAGAAAUUAUGAGCCGUAUGUAUGUGAAUUAUGAAAUGUUAGACUCUAUUUCAAGUUAUUCUUUAAAUAGCAUGUGUCAAAGUUCAAAUGAAAUGGAAGUUGAUAAGCUCAUUGAUGGUUGUUGUGGUGAACAUGUGAAGUCUCUUCAAUUUGAAUUUUUGAAGCACUUGGAAGAAGAAGAAAAUGUUGAUGCAAAAUCAGAGACAGACAA